ACAUGCAAGUCGAACGGAGAGCUACUAGUAAUUUAUUACCGGUAGUAUCUUANUGGCGAACGGGUGAGUAACGCGUUGGUGACCUGCCCCGAAGAGGGGGAUAACAGCUUGAAAGGGCUGCUAAUACCCCAUGUGGUGCUAGAGGUUANAGGCUCUAGCAAGAAAGGAGUAAUCCGCUUCGGGAGGGGCCUGCGUCCCAUCAGCUAGUUGGUAGGGUAAAGGCCUACCAAGGCGAAGACGGGUAGGGGACCUGAGAGGGUGACCCCCCACAAUGGAACUGAAACACGGUCCAUACACCUACGGGUGGCAGCAGUAGGGAAUAUUGCACAAUGGGCGAAAGCCUGAUGCAGCAACGCCGCGUGUGCGAUGAAGGCCUUCGGGUUGUAAAGCACUUUUCGGGGAGAUGAGGAAGGACAGUAUCCCCGGAAUAAGGCUCUGCUAACUACGUGCCAGCAGCCGCGGUAAAACGUAGGAGCCAAGCGUUAUCCNAAUUUACUGGGCGUAAA
rnacentral:rRNA from 2 species